AUCCUUUUGUGGUUCAUAAGAGUGAUGACUGAGUCUUCACACUCAUGUGUGAGAUGUGCCUCCCUCAAACCUUGUUAGGACAUCGGCACAUUACCCGUCUGAUG
ensembl:snoRNA